UUCAUCUGUCCAAAGAAAGUUUUUCCAAAACUAAAUAUGAAUGACAGAGGUCUACUGAACACUUUGAUGCUCAAUAUACAUAGAUGCUCAAUAUACAUAGAUUUAUGUAUGUGGCAUACAGAGACCCCCCCCCCCCAAAUGAAAGCGCAUAUGAAUUUUCAUGGCUGCUGCACUAUAAGAACCCAGGAUAACCUUAGAAAAUGAUAUAUUUUAGAUAUUUUUAUAUCUAUAUAUUUUAUAUCAUACAAAUUCUGAUGAAUCCAAAAUGGGUAAAUAUGUCUUUCUAUUGGAAACUACAAAGUCAUUCUAAACGUAGUGGGUUUUAUGAAAUUUCACAAAGCUUGAAUUUUGCCCCAUUAUAUGCUCCAAAUUUUAUAACAUACCAGCAUAAAACCACUCUACAUACAUGACUGUGCUUCUGGAGAUACUUAUUAGCCUCUCAGUCUCAGUCUACAACCCCACCUCAGGUGCAAAGUUAUAGGCAAUUCAUUUGGAGUUAUUGAGAGAAAAGCUGUUGAAGCCAUGCUAGCUGCUGAAAAAUGUGUUUUAUUACCACAACAUGUUUUGGGCUCAGGGUCCUAUCAAGUGUAACAAAAGUCAGUGCAAACACAUACAUUUAUAUAUAGAAUGAAUAGACUGCCCACAAGCGGUGUUGUAAAUUGUCCAGUUUAGUUCAAUUUGUCCAUUAAUUCAUCUGUUCCUGUACCUAGUGAGGGAGUGAGAAAUAGUCCAGCAUGGGUGUGUACAUCAAUUAGAAACCAGGUACUGCCUCCAGAAUUGUUUUAUUUUUCAUGUUGCAUCAGCUAAUGAUUUGCUUGUAUGGUUUGUGCACUUUUAUAAAAAUGUACUUCUUAGGCCACCAUACCCUUACCAUGUGACCCUGUGUAAUACCAGGAAAUGAUCAGUCUGGCUGCCAUCUUUACACUGUUCACAGGCAGGGGGAAGAUAGUUUGGGGAGAUUGUCACCCCAAAGAAAAGGUGAUUUGUCGCUGGGAUGUCUAAUCUCCCCAAAUCUGCUUGUGUGGCAUGACCCUUAGGCCACCAUAUCCUUACCAUGUGACCCUGUCUAAUACCAGGAAAUGAUCACUCUAUCUGCCAUCUUUACACUGUUCACAGCUAGCACAUUACCAUAUGCAGUAAUCCUCCCCCCUAUCCAGCCUUGUGGUAGCAUCGUUGGUAGGUAUUACUUAUAUACCAAGCCUGAUCUCUAAAGGCAGAUCAUUAUUUAUUUGUUUUGUAUUUCUAUACAAGUUUUAUAGUGUUACAUAUGCAGUUACCUCACGGCACUGCUAUAUAGUAUGUGUUCCAGCCCAGGUAUCUAUGCCUUAUAUUAUAUACAGAUGCCUCUCACCCCUUUAGUUUAACAUAUGCUAUACAGUGUUUAUGUAUUUUCUAUAUUGUGAUGUAUUAAGCACUGUCAUUUUCUGUCUUCCCUAGUUUUACAACGUCCCCUUGUUAAUAAAACUGAAGCUUUCUAAUCUGCUCUCAGUGGAUUAAUGAAGGAAGGAGUUAAACUGCAUGUCAAGCUACACGCUACCCCAGAGUAACACGUAGUGAGGACAGAACACUGCCAUUUGCUGGCCUACCUUAAACCUUCACACCUGAAAAUAAAUAUCUUUUUUGCUUGAAAGAAAACAUCUUAUUUUUUCUUUUCUAAUUCUCAUAUGCAUUUAUAUUAAGCAAAAUAUAUGUACUUGCCCAACUUACAAGUAAGUAGUUUUUUAAAAAUUUUUGAUUCAUACAAGGGCAAAACAGGCACAGGAACCCCUGGUCCAUCCCAGCAAGUGCACCUCAUACCAACGCAUCGAGCAGUGAGAAAUGCUGAAGUUCAAGCGCACAGUCAGUGGUAUCUUUUUUUAGAGCAAACUGCAGACCCUCAAGGCAGAGGAAACAGGUAGCACAAAUAACGAGCACCAGAGAUCAGUACCCCAAGAGAACCAGGAACAAGACAAGAUGAUUAGUUUUGCCCUUGUAUGAAUCAAAGAAUAUUAGAAUACUACUUACUGGUGUGAAGGUUUAAGGUAGGCCAGCAAAUAGCAGUACCUGGUUUUUAAUUGAUGUACACACCCACACUGGACUAUUUCUCACUCCCUUACUGGGUACACACGAGUAUGAAGAGCUUCGACCUGUAGAUAACCCUUUUGCUGGGUAGGGUGCUCAAACAGUGAAAGGAUCACCUGCCUGUGAUCCAGAACAUAUGUAAGAAACCAGGUACACUGUGGCACACCAGACGUGGAGAUUUAGUGCAUCAACAUUUCUUUAUU